rnacentral:rRNA from 1 species
CCUACGGGUGGCAGCAGUGAGGAAUAUUGGUCAAUGGACGAGAGUCUGAACCAGCCAAGUAGCGUGAAGGAUGACUGCCCUAUGGGUUGUAAACUUCUUUUAUAUGGGAAUAAAACGUUCCACGUGUGGGAUUUUGUAUGUACCAUAUGAAUAAGGAUCGGCUAACUCCGUGCCAGCAGCCGCGGUAAUACGGAGGAUCCGAGCGUUAUCCGGAUUUAUUGGGUUUAAAGGGAGCGUAGGUGGAUUGUUAAGUCAGUUGUGAAAGUUUGCGGCUCAACCGUAAAAUUGCAGUUGAAACUGGCAGUCUUGAGUACAGUAGAGGUGGGCGGAGUUCGUGGUGGAGAGGUGAAAUGCUUAGAUAUCACGAAGAACUCCGAUUGCGAAGGCAGUUCACUGGACUGCAACUGACACUGAGGCUCGAAAGUGUGGGUAUCAAACAGGAUUAGAUACCCAGUAGUC